rnacentral:rRNA from 1 species
AUUGAACGCUGGCGGCAUGCUUUACACAUGCAAGUCGAACGGCAGCACGGGUGCUUGCACCUGGUGGCGAGUGGCGGACGGGUGAGUAAUGCAUCGGAACGUGUCCUGAAGUGGGGGAUAACGCAUCGAAAGAUGUGCUAAUACCGCAUAUUCUCUGAGGAGGAAAGUAGGGGAUCGAAAGACCUUAUGCUUUUGGAGCGGCCGAUGUCUGAUUAGCUAGUUGGUAGGGUAAUGGCUUACCAAGGCGACGAUCAGUAGUUGGUCUGAGAGGACGACCAGCCACACUGGGACUGAGACACGGCCCAGACUCCUACGGGAGGCAGCAGUGGGGAAUUUUGGACAAUGGGCGCAAGCCUGAUCCAGCAAUGCCGCGUGAGUGAAGAAGGCCUUCGGGUUGUUAAAGGACUCUUUCCUAGUUGUAGAAGAAAAAGUACGUAGACUAAUAAUACAUGAUUCAUGACGGUAUCAACAGAAGAAGAC